ensembl:rRNA 5S_rRNA 5S ribosomal RNA
GUCUACGGCCAUACCACCCUGAUCCCGGAAGCUACUGCACAGGCUCGGCCCUGGCCAGUACUCACAUAAGAGACUGCCUGGGAAUACCGGCUGCUGUAGGCU